rnacentral:rRNA from 1 species
AGUAAACGCUGGCGGUAGGCCUAACACAUGCAAGUCGAACGGCAGCACAGUAAGAGCUUGCUCUUACGGGUGGCGAGUGGCGGACGGGUGAGGAAUACAUCGGAAUCUACUUUUUCGUGGGGGAUAACGUAGGGAAACUUACGCUAAUACCGCAUACGACCUACGGGUGAAAGCAGGGGAUCUUCGGACCUUGCGCGAUUGAAUGAGCCGAUGUCAGAUUAGCUAGUUGGCGGGGUAAAGGCCCACCAAGGCGACGAUCCGUAGCUGGUCUGAGAGGAUGAUCAGCCACACUGGAACUGAGACACGGUCCAGACUCCUACGGGAGGCAGCAGUGGGGAAUAUUGGACAAUGGGCGCAAGCCUGAUCCAGCCAUACCGCGUGGGUGAAGAAGGCCUUCGGGUUGUAAAGCCCUUUUGUUGGGAAAGAAAAGCAGCAGGUUAAUACCCCGCUGUUCUGACGGUACCCAAAGAAUAAGCACCGGCUAACUUCGU